AAGCUCGUAGUUGAAUUUCGGGGUUAGUAGGUUUGUCAUGCCUCCGGUAUGUACUGGUCUCACUGAUUCCUCCUUCCUUAUGAACCGUAAUGCCAUUAAUUUGGUGUUGCGGGGAAUUUGGACUGUUACUUUGAAAAAAUUAGAGUGUUUAAAGCAAGCUAACGCUUGAAUACAUUAGCAUGGAAUAAUGAAAUAGGACGUUCGAUCUUAUUUUGUUGGUUUCUAGGAUUGACGUAAUGAUUAAUAGGGAUAGUUGGG
rnacentral:rRNA from 1 species